UACGUAGGGUGCGAGCGUUGUCCGGAGUUACUGGGCGUAAAGCGCUUGUAGGCGGUCCACCAAGUUUGGGGUGACAGUUGCCGACUUAAUCGGCAAAGUGCCUCAAAGACUGGCGGACUUGAGGGCCACAGAGGGACAUGGAACUCCAGGUGUAGUGGUGAAAUGCGUAGAUAUCUGGAAGAACACCAAAGGCGAAGGCAGUGUCCUGGGUGGUCGCUGACGCUGAGAGGCGAAAGCCAGGGGAGCGAACGGG
rnacentral:rRNA from 1 species